CAGAGACGUUGUCCUCCAUUUACUAAACAUUCGUAAUAACUGAGAGAUGAAGCUGAAGCGCUGAAUGGUUUCAAAUGUCGGUUUUUGGUGCAACGCGGACCUCUCAAAUGGUUUGGAGCCGUCAUCGUUAAGCCAACGAAGUCGUGUCGUGAAUUGAGAACAGUUUUGUCUUCUUUGAGUUUAUGGAAGAACGACUAUGGAUCAGGAACAAGAUCAACGUCAUAAGGACAAAUUCUGUCAAUACAGGUUUAAAGGAUGAAGAUACAAGACUAGAUGCAUUUCGUUGAACGAAAUAAAGUUGAUUCAUUGUUCAUGAGAAAUAGUCACUGAGAAAAGGUCACUCGCACUUGGUGAUGAAGAGCAACUUCUGCGUAACAAGAAAUUUCGCACAAUGGCUUUUAAAAGGGCCAUCUCAAUAUCGAAAAGAAAAGUUUUAUUGCAGGAAAGUUUUCUCAGAAAGACUAAGAAGUUAAGAUGAA